rnacentral:lncRNA from 1 species
UAAAUACCUUAAUAGCAAGAUAAGAAUCUGGAUCCUCCUUGGUUCUGACUUUUAUUCCAUAUGCUUUUAAUUUCUGUUAGCCCAGCCCUUUCUCUUUUUGUUGUAUAGUAAUGCUAACACUGUUUCAACUUACAAAGCACUUGGAAAGUGAAAAAUAUUAUCUCUUGGAAUCAGGUAAGAGAAAACCAGAGAAUCCACCCAUUUCAUGAUUAAAAUUAGC